AAUGAACGCUGGCGGCGUGCUUAACACAUGCAAGUCGAGCGAGGCCUGGGGGGCAACUCCCAGAGUCGAGCGGCGGACGGGUGAGUAACACGUGGGUAACCUGCCCGGAAGUGGGGAAUACCUCGGGGAAACUCGAGCUAAUACCGCAUGACAUCUUUGGGACGAAAGUCCUGACGAUCAAAGCGGGGUCGCAAGAUCUCGCGCUACCGGAUGGGCCCGCGCCCGAUUAGCUAGUUGGGAGGUAACGGCUCACCAAGGCUUCGAUCGGUAACCGGCCUGAGAGGGCGAUCGGUCACACCGGAACUGAGACACGGUCCGGACUCCUACGGGAGGCAGCAGUGGGGAAUCUUGCGCAAUGGGCGAAAGCCUGACGCAGCAACGCCGCGUGGAGGAUGAAGGCCCUUGGGUUGUAAACUCCUGUCGGCUGGGAAGAAGUCGUGCGGUGCUCAUACCACCGUGCGUUGACUGUACCAGCAAAGGAAGCCCCGGCUAACUCUGUGCCAGCAGCC
rnacentral:rRNA from 1 species